CACGUAGGGGGCGAGCGUUGUCCGGAUUUAUUGGGCGUAAAGAGCUCGUAGGCGGCUCAGUAAGUCGGGUGUGAAAACUCCAGGCUCAACCUGGAGACGCCACCCGAUACUGCUCUGACUUGAGUUCGGUAGGGGAGUGGGGAAUUCCUGGUGUAGCGGUGAAAUGCGCAGAUAUCAGGAGGAACACCGGUGGCGAAGGCGGUUCUCUGGGCCUUACCUGACACUGAGGAGCGAAAGCGUGGGGAGCGAACAGG
rnacentral:rRNA from 1 species